rnacentral:rRNA from 1 species
GACAGAGGAUGCAAGCGUUAUCCGGAAUGAUUGGGCGUAAAGCGUCUGUAGGUGGCUUUUUAAGUCCGCCGUCAAAUCCCAGGGCUCAACCCUGGACAGGCGGUGGAAGCUACCAAGCUGGAGUACGGUAGGGGCAGGAGGUCAUUCGGUGGAGCGGUGAAAUGCGUAGAGAUCGGAAAGAACACCAACGGCGAAAGCACUCUGCUGGGCCGACACUGACACUGAGAGACGAAAGCUAGGGGAGCGAAUGGG